GGGAACACUAGGUGAGAAUUGACCAUUAAAGGACAAUUUAUGAUGACUCAAUAGACUACGAACAGUACGAUCAUUGGCGUGACCGAUACGAGCAUGCCAAGUGAGGUAUUCAACAUUGUGAGACUGUGGGAAACUGUUUGCGGAAGGACUGAGCGGCAUGGUGUAGAGGCCAUUUUCACUCUGGCCUUGGUAGAGGAUCUGUUUCGUGCGGAUAUCCUUCACAAUAAAAGAAUUAGGAUAAAAUUCAA
rnacentral:misc_RNA from 1 species